rnacentral:tRNA from 1 species
AGCCCUGAGGUGUUUCACGUCAAAAUGCAAGUUUGAAGAAGGCCCCUACAGGGACCCGGGGCUU